UAUGUAUCACGCUUUGUGGGCAACGGUACAGUAUGUAUCACGCUUUGUGGGCAACGGUACAGUAUGUAUCACGCUUUGUGGGCAACGGUACAGUAUGUAUCACGCUUUGUGGGCAACGGUACAGUGGGCCCACGGUUCGGUAUGUAUCACGCUUUGUGGGCAACGGUACAGUAUGUAUCACGCUUUGUGGGCAACGGUACAGUGGGCCCACGGUUCGGUAUGUAUCACGCUUUGUGGGCAACGGUACAGUGGGCCCACGGUUCGGUAUGUAUCACGCUUUGUGGGCAACGGUACAGUGGGCCCACGGUUCAGUAUGUAUCACGCUUUGUGGGCAACGGUACAGUGGGCCCACGGUUCGGUAUCUUUAUAUUUAAGAAACAAAUUCAAACACAUCACCCUUUAAACAAUGAACUAUUUAUUUUGCCUAAAAACAAAUCAAACAUUCCAUUCAGAAAAAUGGCAGCAUGACUGACUAGGCCUGGUUUCUGUCUCUACUGUAUGAGAUCAAGGGGAGAAAAAUGUUCAAAUUAAAGGUGCUUCUUAGCUUUGACAACCUGUAGCUCUUCAUCUCCCAAUCCAGUACACAGUGAACCGUCAGAGAGGGGUAGCUUCCAGUACACAGUGAACCGUCAGAGAGAGGGGUAGCUUCCAGUACACAGUGAACCGUCAGAGAGAGGGGUAGCUUCCAGUACACAGUGAACCGUCAGAGAGGGGUAGCUUCCAGUACACAGUGAACCGUCAGAGAGAGGUAGCUUCCAGUACACAGUGAACCGUCAGAGAGGGGUAGCUUCCAGUACACAGUGAACCGUCAGAGAGGGGGGUAGCUUCCAGUACACAGUGAACCGUCAGAGAGGGGUAGCUUCCAGUACACAGUGAACCGUCAGAGAGAGGGGUAGCUUCCAGUACACAGUGAACCGUCAGAGAGGGGUAGCUUCCAGUACACAGUGAACCGUCAGAGAGGGGUAGCUUCCAGUACACAGUGAACCGUCAGAGAGAGGGGUAGCUUCCAGUACACAGUGAACCGUCAGAGAGGUAGCUUCCAGUACACAGUGAACCGUCAGAGAGAGGGGUAGCUUCCAGUACACAGUGAACCGUCAGAGAGAGGGGUAGCUUUGCGUUGCUCUGGAUGUCCAACUAUCAGUGGAGAGAGCUAGAUUGGGUGUCUGUCAAUUGUGUGUGCAGACUGUACUUUAUUUUACGGUCUUCUUACCCUCGUCAUCGUAUUGUAACGUCCCUCGGUUUAUAAGCGCGGAAAUCGACUCUGCCGUUGGAGCGUAUUUUUGCGGCACAGACGAUAGCGCGCUGGACUUUGGGCUAGAAGGUCGAGGGUUCGAGACCUGCUCCCUGCUGUUUCAUUACAGUAUUGAACGCUGAAUCCAAAAUGUUCCCACACAGCGGAUUUUUAAAGACGGCGGUGCCUCUUAAAAUUAGCUUCUCUUGCUAGCGCUCGCCAUUGUCACGUUGAAGCUGAGAGAAUACUUGUUAUUAGUUUCCCCUCCUCGUGGGGCCCCUUUAGGGAUAUUUCCUACUGAGGCGUCAUUGCAAAUCGUCAUUGUUUGUUUAAGGGGGUUGCGGUUACUUGCGUUGCCGCAUUGAGACAUUGUUGUGGAGUAAAGUUUGUCAGCCCUCAGGAGCUCCCUAACGGCCCCAAGCGGCACCUGUGGAUCUGAAUGUACAAUGUGUGGGUAGUCUGCGGCGCAAUUAUCAAGUUUUGGAAAAGGACAGGCAUACCAUAAUUCCGCGGUUCACGUGUGCGUAUUGAACCGUAGGGGUCGUACUGAACGGUUCCAUAACAUACUGUACUGUUACAUCCCUCAUCUAUACCAGGAAUUUGACCCUGGUGAAAAGGUGCUGACCACAAUAGAUAGAGCAAACUAUCGUGUGUGUGUGUGUGUGUGUG